GCCAGGUCAAGGCCAACUCGGCAGCCGACGCACCAAGCGCCUUCUAAGCGCUUGGCCGCAGGUUCGAGUCCUGCCGGGGGCG
rnacentral:tRNA from 1 species